AAUGUCAGUUCUCAAAAGUACUUUCUAUAGAUUUUUUUUUUUUACCUUUCAUCUAAAAUUUCAAAUGUAUUGAGUAUGUUUGGAAUUUUCCUUCCUUUCUCUUUAAUUGUGUGGAUCUGGAUAUGAAUUCCCUAUCUUAUUAGAAAUAAUACAUGUCUUUUAGGUAUUUAGAGUUAACCAUUUCAUUAUUUUCAAACAACAACAACAAAAACAACAAACAAAAACAAAACAAAAUGAAAACCAACUCUGAAGGGUAAGGGUGUGUUUCCUAUCUGAAAAAUCAGCCCUUCAGAAGUAGAGCCAGAAAAAUUGCAGCGAGUUAAAACUAGUGAAUUGCAGGCCAGCAACGACUGCAUAGUGCGAUCUUGUGUCAGAACACCUCCAGAAAGGAAGCUUGAGAGUUUGCUCUGUGGUUAAGAUCAUUGGCUUCUUCUCCAGAGGUCCUCGUUUGAUUAUCACCACCCACAUAGCACUUGACAACUGUCUGUAAUUCCAAUCCCAAGAACUCUGACUCCCUCUGCUGGACUCCACUACACAAAUGUGGUGCACAAACAUAUUACACACAUUACAUAAAACAAAAUGACAAAAAAAAAAGAGCUCACCCCCUAAUAUCAUAUGGUUAUGUUAUCCCUGUUUGAUUGUGUUCAUUUUGAUGCAAGUAAUUACAAAUUGUUACCCCCCCUCAAAUCUGAAAUAAGUAUAACACUCUCUCCACUGUGAGACACUAUCUCAGGUAAUUUAUUAGUUUGGUUUUCCCUGGUGGAGACAGGUCAGUUGGUGGCUGUGACCUUGAUUACACUUGUCUUCUGGUGCUCUGGUUCCUCAUAGACGUGUGUCCACUCAUUGCUUAUGGGCUGUGUUGGCUUGAUUUUGGCUUGAACUCUACGUAUUUUCUUGUUUAUUUACACAUAUUGACUAGACACUUUCUGGUAGCUUCUUAAAAGUAGGCUACUUAGAGAUAAAAUGUUAGAAAACAUACUUCUCUAUCUUCACACUUAGAAUGAACGGGUGUUUGAAGGCAG
rnacentral:lncRNA from 1 species